AAUAGAUACCCGGGUAGUCCACGCCGUAAACGAUGAGUGCUAGGUGUUAGGGGGUCCAACCCUUAGUGCCGAAGUUAACACAUUAAGCACUCCGCCUGGGGAGUACGGUCGCAAGACUGAAACUCAAAGGAAUUGACGGGGGCCCGCACAAGCGGUGGAGCAUGUGGUUUAAUUCGAAGCAACGCGAAGAACCUUACCAGGGCUUGACAUCCCUCUGACCGUUCUAGAGAUAGAGCUUCCCUUCGGGGCAGAGGUGACAGGUGGUGCAUGGUUGUCGUCAGCUCGUGUCGUGAGAUGUUGGGUUAAGUCCCGCAACGAGCGCAACCCUUGUCCUUAGUUGCCAGCAUUCAGUUGGGCACUCUAGGGAGACUGCCGGUGACAAACCGGAGGAAGGUGGGGAUGACGUCAAAUCAUCAUGCCCCUUAUGUCCUGGGCUACACACGUGCUACAAUGGCUGGUACAAAGGGUAGCGAAGCAGUGAUGUGGAGCCAAUCCCAAAAAAGCCAGUCACAGUUCGGAUUGUAGG
rnacentral:rRNA from 1 species